rnacentral:rRNA from 1 species
CACGUAGGGCGCAAGCGUUGUCCGGAAUUAUUGGGCGUAAAGAGCUUGUAGGCGGUUUGUCGCGUCUGCUGUGAAAUUUCGGGGCUCAACCCCGAACUUGCAGUGGGUACGGGCAGACUAGAGUGUGGUAGGGGAGACUGGAAUUCCUGGUGUAGCGGUGAAAUGCGCAGAUAUCAGGAGGAACACCGGUGGCGAAGGCGGUUCUCUGGGCCUUACCUGACGCUGAGGAGCGAAAGCGUGGGGAGCGAACAGG